rnacentral:rRNA from 1 species
ACGGAGGGGGCAAGCGUUAAUCGGAAUUACUGGGCGUAAAGCGCACGUAGGCGGGGGUGUAAGUUGGGGGUGAAAUCCCAGGGCUCAACCCUGGAACUGCAUUCAAAACUGCUUCUCUUGAAUUCGGGAGAGGAUAGCGGAAUUCCCGGUGUAGCAGUGAAAUGCGUAGAUAUCGGGAGGAACACCAGUGGCGAAGGCGGCCAUCUGGACCGGAAUUGACGCUGAGGCGCGAAAGCGUGGGGAGCAAACAG